AUUGAACGCUGGCGGCGUGCUUAACACAUGCAAGUCGAUCGGUAACGCGGGGGCAACCCUGGCGACGAGAGGCGGACGGGUGAGGAACGCUUGGGAAUCUGCCUAUCAGCGGGGGACAACACGGGGAAACUCGUGCUAAUACCGCAUACGCUCUACGGAGGAAAGCCGGGGACCGCAAGGCCUGGCACUGAUAGAUGAGCCCAAGCCGGAUUAGCUAGUUGGCGGGGUAACGGCCCACCAAGGCGACGAUCCGUAGCUGGUCUGAGAGGACGAUCAGCCACACCGGAACUGAGACGCGGUCCGGACUCCUACGGGAGGCAGCAGUGGGGAAUAUUGGACAAUGGGGGAAACCCUGAUCCAGCGACGCCGCGUGGGUGAAGAAGGCCUGCGGGUUGUAAAGCCCUUUCGGUAGGGAAGAAAUCUCUUGUCUUAACACGGCAAGGGUUUGACUUAACCUACAUAAGAAGCACCGGCUAACUCUGUGCCAGCAGCCGCCGUAACAC
rnacentral:rRNA from 1 species